GGGUAUAGCUCAGUGGUAGAGUGCAUGUUUAGCAUGCAUCAGGUCCUGGGUUCAAUCCCUAGUACCUCCA
rnacentral:tRNA from 1 species